rnacentral:rRNA from 1 species
GAUGAACGCUGGCGGCGUGCCUAAUACAUGCAAGUCGAGCGAACAGACGAGGAGCUUGCUCCUCUGACGUUAGCGGCGGACGGGUGAGUAACACGUGGAUAACCUACCUAUAAGACUGGGAUAACUUCGGGAAACCGGAGCUAAUACCGGAUAAUAUAUUGAACCGCAUGGUUCAAUAGUGAAAGACGGUUUUGCUGUCACUUAUAGAUGGAUCCGCGCCGCAUUAGCUAGUUGGUAAGGUAACGGCUUACCAAGGCGACGAUGCGUAGCCGACCUGAGAGGGUGAUAGGCCACACUGGAACUGAGACACGGUCCAGACUCCUACGGGAGGCAGCAGUAGGGAAUCUUCCGCAAUGGGCGAAAGCCUGACGGAGCAACGCCGCGUGAGUGAUGAAGGUCUUCGGAUCGUAAAACUCUGUUAUUAGGGAAGAACAAAUGUGUAAGUAACUAUGCACGUCUUGACGGUACCUAAUCAGAAAGCCACGGCUAACUACGUG